GAAACCUUAUCCCAAGGUAAACAUGCUAUCAGAAGUGUGUCAACAUGAAGUGCAAUAAUAUGCCAAACUAUAAGGCAAAGGGAUAUGUAAAUCCACAUAGAAAGGUACUCAAUUUUCUAAAGAAGUUUAAUUACAUCAAGUUCUGGCCAAGACUUGGGACCCAACAGAGUUGAACCAGCUAAAUUAAUCAGGAAAAUGACACAUGCUUCUUCAUACUACAGUCACUUGGUCAUAGAAUAUUACUAUUCUUGUGUGCGAAUUUUCAGUCAAGAUAAAUAUUUAAUGGCAUUUGGAAGCAAUGCUUAAACUGAUCUUGUGGUUUGUCCAGACCAACUAAACAAACAUAAAUAUUCUUAGUGCAAAUAUUUUUUGGGUAAGUCCAUUUCGAAACUACAGGUAGUAAAUUCAGGGGAUAAUUGCGCAAGAGCCUGAUUGUGUCCACUCCCUGGAUCAAAUAACAAAAAGAAUUCAAAAGACAGUUGGUUGUGCAGGAAAUCUUGUGCAUGAGUAACAUAAAAAUGGAAGUGUUUGCAUCAUCAGAACACAAAUCACAAAAACAGAAACCAGAGAAUAUAAUGUAAAACCAAAUGCUCAAGAUUGUUUGAGCUUUAUGACUGCAACUGCAGUUCAGGCACAUUAAACAUCAACUGGACCUGCAUUUUUAAGUGAAAUCCAAACUCCAUCACAUCUCUCAAACAUGGCUAAAAAGUGCAGAUGGUAACUGUAGACGAUUUAUGCACACAAAGCAUCUAUUAAAUCAUAUAUCAAGUUAAAUUGUACACUCCAACAACAGUAGCAAUAGCAUAGCAUUUGAAAGGAGAAGAAAAAAUAGAUGGCUAAGUAUGUAUAUCGACAAGCUAAUCAAAGCUAGUCAACACGCACGUUCCAACACCCACAGCCCCACAUUAAUACAUUAUGCAUUUCUUGGAAGUGUUGCAUACUCACUGCCAAAAUUUUAAAAUUUCCAUCUGCUAAAAUCACUAUUGAAAUUAAGAUAGAAAUUACAUGACCUUGCCCAUGCGGAUGUUGACGUAGGGGUCGCCAUCAAGCUUGUCGAGUGUGUUGGUGCGAA
rnacentral:lncRNA from 1 species